CUCCGUUGGCGCUCACUCUCGCUCGCAAGGCCUCCCUCGACGUUCACUCUCUCUCGCGCAAACCCUACCUCCGUCGUCACUGACUCUCUCUUGCUCCUCCCUCAAUUGGCACUCAACCCUCACCAUAACACAAGAAAUUACAUGGGAUUUUUUGCUAUGGCUUUGGUAGAGGCAUGAGAAAUUGGACUGCUAACCCCAGAAAAUGAGUUCCAUUUGCAUUGGAUAUUGCUCAUGAUAAGUGCUUGUCAUGAAAUCUGGCUGUUUAAUUCUUACUAGUUGUGAUUUGUUUAAGAGCAACACUUAUAUCCACCCCAAGUUUUUUGUCUAUUACUAGUUGUGCUUCUCAGGUUUCUUUAAA